GGCUCAGGAUGAACGCUGGCGGCGUGCCUAAUACAUGCAAGUCGAGCGAACAGAUAAGGAGCUUGCUCCUUUGACGUUAGCGGCGGACGGGUGAGUAACACGUGGGUAACCUACCUAUAAGACUGGAAUAACUCCGGGAAACCGGGGCUAAUGCCGGAUAACAUUUAGAACCGCAUGGUUCUAAAGUGAAAGAUGGUUUUGCUAUCACUUAUAGAUGGACCCGCGCCGUAUUAGCUAGUUGGUAAGGUAAUGGCUUACCAAGGCAACGAUACGUAGCCGACCUGAGAGGGUGAUCGGCCACACUGGAACUGAGACACGGUCCAGACUCCUACGGGAGGCAGCAGUAGGGAAUCUUCCGCAAUGGGCGAAAGCCUGACGGAGCAACGCCGCGUGAGUGAUGAAGGGUUUCGGCUCGUAAAACUCUGUUAUUAGGGAAGAACAAACGUGUAAGUAACUGUGCACGUCUGACGGUACUAAUCAGAAGUC
rnacentral:rRNA from 1 species